AUACGUAGGGGGCGAGCGUUGUCCGGAAUUAUUGGGCGUAAAGCGCGCGCAGGCGGUCCACUAAGUCUGAUGUGAAAGCCCCCGGCUUAACCGGGGAAGGCCAUUGGAAACUGGUGGACUUGAGUGCAGGAGAGGGGAGUGGAAUUCCACGUGUAGCGGUGAAAUGCGUAGAGAUGUGGAGGAACACCAGUGGCGAAGGCGGCUCUCUGGCCUGCAACUGACGCUGAGGCGCGAAAGCGUGGGGAGCAAACAGGAUUAGAUACCCUGGUAGUCCACGCCGUAAACGAUGAGUGCUAGGUGUUGGGGGGAGCAAUCUCCUCAGUGCUGAAGUUAACACAUUAAGCACUCCGCCUGGGGAGUACGGCCGCAAGGCUGAA
rnacentral:rRNA from 1 species